AUUGAACGCUGGCGGCAGGCCUAACACAUGCAAGUCGAACGAGUGGCGGACGGGUGAGUAAUGUCUGGGAAACUGCCUGAUGGAGGGGGAUAACUACUGGAAACGGUAGCUAAUACCGCAUACCAUCGGAUGUGCCCAGUGGGGAUUAGCUAGUAGGUGGGGUAACGGCUCACCGAGGCGCCGAUCCCUAGCUGGUCUGAGAGGAUGACUAGCCACACUGGAACUGAGACACGGUCCAUACUCCGACGGGAGGCAGCAGUGGGGAAUGUUGGACAAUGGGCGCAAGCCUGAUGCAGCAAUGCCGCGUGUAUGAAGAAGUCCUUCGGGUUGUAAAGUACUUUCAGCGGGGAGGCGUUACCCGCAGAAGAAGCACCGGCUAACUCCGUGCCAGCAGCCGCGGUAAUAC
rnacentral:rRNA from 1 species